GCCGAGGUGGCGGAAUGGCAGACGCGCUAGGUUGAGGGCCUAGUGGGGGUUAACCCCGUGCAGGUUCAAGUCCUGUCCUCGGCA
rnacentral:tRNA from 1 species